rnacentral:rRNA from 1 species
GACGUAGGGGGCGAGCGUUGUCCGGAUUCACUGGGUUUAAAGGGUGCGUAGGCGGGUAAGUAAGUCCGUGGUGAAAUCUCUGAGCUUAACUCAGAAACUGCCGUGGAUACUAUUUGCCUUGAAUAUUGUGGAGGUGAGCGGAAUAUGUCAUGUAGCGGUGAAAUGCUUAGAUAUGACAUAGAACACCAAUUGCGAAGGCAGCUCACUACACAAUCAUUGACGCUGAGGCACGAAAGCGUGGGGAUCAAACAGG